GUGGGGAAUAUUGGACAAUGGGCGCAAGCCUGAUCCAGCCAUGCCGCGUGUGUGAAGAAGGCCUUCGGGUUGUAAAGCACUUUUGUCCGGGAAGAAAUCUUCCAGGUUAAUACCCUGGGAGGCUGACGGUACCGGAAGAAUAAGCACCGGCUAACUUCGUGCCAGCAGCCGCGGUAAUACGAAGGGUGCAAGCGUUACUCGGAAUUACUGGGCGUAAAGCGUGCGUAGGUGGUUCGUUAAGUCUGCCGUGAAAGCCCCGGGCUCAACCUGGGAAUGGCGGUGGAUACUGGCGGGCUAGAGUGCGGUAGAGGGUGGUGGAAUUCCCGGUGUAGCAGUGAAAUGCGUAGAGAUCGGGAGGAACAUCUGUGGCGAAGGCGGCCACCUGGACCAGCACUGACACUGAGGCACGAAAGCGUGGGGAUCAAACAGGAUUAGAUACCCUGGUAGUCC
rnacentral:rRNA from 1 species